rfam:Solanum tuberosum cultivar DM 1-3 516 R44 scf00093_83, whole genome shotgun sequence.
UGUCCCUUCGGGGACAUCUGAUUAAAAUUGGAACGAUACAAAAAAGAUUAGCUUGACACUACCAAAGAAUAACGCGCACAAAUCGCGAAAUGGUUCAAACUAAC